CAAGAAGAGAAAAAGGAGAUUUUCAAGCAAAGUUGUUUACCAGACUACAUGAAUGAGGGAAGGAAAAUUGCGUUUUCAACAUGAAGAGGAAGACAAACGAAAACAAAGUGCGAUAAAACAGAAAGUUUAACCCUCCGACGGCAACUGAGAUCUUUAAAGACACCAUCGAUAUUUUAUUUAUUUUGGUAAUAAUCCGAAACAGUAAAAAAUUUGUUUUGUUUUCCAAAGAUCUCUAUUACUGAUAAAACAGUUAAAAUUCAUAUUGUGGAGAAUUCAAUCAUACAAUUUUUACUGUACAUUGUUUUGUAUGAAGCGAACCUGGAGCGGAUUAAGAACAUGUAGGAGACACAUGAUUCAUUAAUUAAUGAGAAUGCAAAGUAUUUUGCAGGUGAAAAUUAACAAACAAAUACGCCCACACUUGAGAAAAACAUCGACAUCAUAGAAUAAUCAAAUUUUGAUUA